rnacentral:rRNA from 1 species
UACGUAGGGUGCGAGCGUGUCCGGAAUUAUUGGGCGUAAAGAGCUCGUAGGCGGUCUGUCGCGUCGAUCGUGAAAACUUGGGGCUUAACCCUGAGCUUGCGGUCGAUACGGGCAGGCUCGAGUUGGUGAGGGGAGACUGGAAUUCCUGGUGUAGCGGUGAAAUGCGCAGAUAUCAGGAGGAACACCGGUGGCGAAGGCGGGUCUCUGGGACGUGACUGACGCUGAGACGCGAAAGCGUGGGGAGCGAACAGG